UAUCCCUGUUCCAAUGGGCAAAGAGAUAAGUGGUUGGUAUUGUUGUUCUUAUAUUAGUCAGGGGCUGAACAGUUGGUAAACCACUGUUCUUCCUAGCUUGAAGCUUGGCCUGGUGUUUUAAGCUAUUUAAGACAGGGAUACAUCA